GCCACGGUGGUCCAGUUAGUUAGGAUGCCGUCCCUGGUAAAUACCAGAUCGUCGGAUGCCCGGGUGCAAGUCCCGGCCGUGGCA